GACGAACGCUGGCGGCGUGCUUAACACAUGCAAGUCGAACGGAAAGGCCCUGCUUUUGUGGGGUGCUCGAGUGGCGAACGGGUGAGUAACACGUGAGUAACCUGCCCUUGACUUUGGGAUAACUUCGGGAAGCUGGGGCUAAUACCGGAUAGGAGCUCCUGCUGCAUGGUGGGGGUUGGAAAGUUUCGGCGGUUGGGGAUGGACUCGCGGCUUAUCAGCUUGUUGGUGGGGUAGUGGCUUACCAAGGCUUUGACGGGUAGCCGGCCUGAGAGGGUGACCGGCCACAUUGGGACUGAGAUACGGCCCAGACUCCUACGGGAGGCAGCAGUGGGGAAUAUUGCACAAUGGGCGGAAGCCUGAUGCAGCAACGCCGCGUGCGGGAUGACGGCCUUCGGGUUGUAAACCGCUUUCGCCUGUGACGAAGCGUGAGUGACGGUAAUGGGUAAAGAAGCACCGGCUAACUACGUG
rnacentral:rRNA from 1 species